rnacentral:rRNA from 1 species
GUAGGUGGCAAGCGUUGUCCGGAAUUAUUGGGCGUAAAGCGCGCGCAGGUGGGUUCUUUAAGUCUGAUGUGAAAGCCCCCGGGCUCAACCGGGGAGGGUCAUUGGAAACUGGGGAACUUGAGUGCAGGAGAGGAAAGUGGAAUUCCACGUGUAGCGGUGAAAUGCGUAGAUAUGUGGAGGAACACCAGUGGCGAAGGCGACUUUCUGGCCUGUAACUGACACUGAGGCGCGAAAGCGUGGGGAGCAAACAGGAUUAGAUACCCUGGUAGUCCACGCCGUAAACGAUGAGUGCUAAGUGUUGGGGGGUUUCCGCCCCUCAGCGCUGCAGCUAACGCAUUAAGCACUCCGCCUGGGGAGUACGGUCGCAAGACUG